UGGUGGAGUGAUUUGUCUGCUUAAUUGCGAUAACGAACGAGACCUUAACCUGCUAACUAGCCCGUAUUGCUUUGGCAGUCCGCUGGCUUCUUAGAGGGACUAUCGGCUCAAGCCGAUGGAAGUUUGAGGCAAUAACA
rnacentral:rRNA from 1 species